AACGAACGCUGGUGGCAUGCCUAACACAUGCAAGUCGAACGAGAUCUUCGGGUCUAGUGGCGCACUGGUGCGUACCGCGUGGGAAUCUGCCCUUUGGUUCGGAAUAACAGUUGGAAACGACUGCUAAUACCGGAUGAUGACGAAAGCCCAAAGAUGUAGCGCGAGAGGAUGAGCCCGCGUAGGAUUAGCUAGUUGGUGUGGUAAAGGCGCACCAAGGCGACGAUACUUAGCUGGUCUGAGCGGAUGAUCAGCCACACUGGGACUGAGACACGGCCCAGACUCCUACGGGAGGCAGCAGUGGGGAAUAUUGGACAAUGGGCGAAAGCCUGAUCCAGCAAUGCCGCGUGAGUGAUGAAGGCCUUAGGGUUGUAAAGCUCUUUUACCCGGGAUGAUAAUGACAGUACCGGGAGAAUAAGCUCCGGCUAACUCCGUGCCAGCCGCCGCCGUAAGAC
rnacentral:rRNA from 1 species